CGGAGGAUCCAAGCGUUAUCCGGAAUUACUGGGCGUAAGAGUUGCGUAGGUGGCAUGGUAAGCAAAUAGUGAAAGCGUGGGGCUCAACCUCAUAUACAUUAUUUGAACUGCCAAGCUAGAGGAUGAGAGAGGUCGCUGGAAUUGCUAGUGUAGGAGUGAAAUCCGUAGAUAUUAGCAGGAACACCGAUGGCGUAGGCAGGCGACUGGCUCAUUCCUGACACUAAGGCACGAAAGCGUGGGGAGCAAACGGGAUUAGAUACCCCGGUAGUCCACGCCGUAAACGAUGGAUGCUAGCUGUUAACCGUAUCGACCCGGUUAGUAGCGAAGCUAACGCGUUAAGCAUCCCGCCUGUGGAGUACGGUCGCAAGACUA
rnacentral:rRNA from 1 species